GGGGCUGUGGCUCAGUGGCAGAGCGCUCGCCUGGCAUGCGUGAAGCACUGGGUUUGAUCCUCAGCAUCA
rnacentral:tRNA from 1 species